CACAUGCAACACAUAGUAUAAAAAGUCUUAUAAAUUCAUAGAAAAAUAUGCUCUUCUCUGGUAGCAGUAAUAUGUUACACAAUUAAAUAAAUUCCAGAUCUGAUAUAUCUGAAGUAGCUUGGGUGUGGAUGGAUGUAUGGAUGUCAGUUUAUUCUAGAUGGUGGUAUACACAGCCUGUGUGUAUGUGUUGGCUCUUGAAUACAAAGCACACGGUAACUUUUGAAAAGGCUCUAGCUGUGAUACUCUUGUGUGCUGGCUGCUUCAGAGAAACAUGGGACCUGGUUCAGUACCCCAGGUUUGGUGCAGUGCUGUGUAGAUAUAAACAGGAGUCCAGGUUUAGGUUGACUUAGUCUUAGAAAUCUGAGAGUCCUCAUCUUCCAGAUGAACUGUUUACAAAUAGUGCGCCCAUUCCUCCACAGCUGGAGACCAAAGCAUGGUCAAUGGCUGAAAGCAUUUGCAAGUAACAUAGUUCUGCAAUGGCUGAAAAAAUGUUGCUUUUUGUUAUGAGCUCAUUGUCUUAAAAUAGAUUACAGAUAUUUGAUUUCUUAUUUUUAAAGGAUUAUCAGAAAAAAGACUUACAAGCAAUUUCCUAUGAAGAUACAAGUGGGAAGGAAAAUGGAUUGUGGGCACUCACUUGUCCAAAGAUAGUAACAGGAACUGAUCCCACAUAUUUCAACUCUAUUUGCUAGGCACAUUCACAUGUUCUAACCUACUGCACUCAUGUGCUUACAUUAUUUUAUUCUUACUUGUUAGUUCUCACUGAAAAGCAUACUGAUAAUAGAAAAUGGAUUUUGCUAACUGGGAGAACAGUAGUAAUUAUUCCAUAGACACAUUAUUUUAAAAUCACAUUUAGAUAAAUUCAUAACUAGAAUGAUUUUUUUUUAAAGCACAAAAGCUGUGCACUUAAUAGUUGGAUCACUGUAUUUGUAAUGGAAAUAAUUAACAUUGCAUUUUAGUGUCUGCCUUUGUAUUAAGAACCAACAGAAAGAUCCAGGAAGAAAAAGAUUAGAGCCUAUAUGUAUUUGAAAAAAGCCACACAUGGUAUAAAUAUAAAUUAUUGUUUCCAUCUUUUCUGACUGGGAGGUUCUGAAAGCAUUGUGCAAAUUAAGUCAAGUGAUUUUCAAAACAUGAGACAUGUUAUUUGUACAUUACCAUCAGAAGAAACCAUAUAUGUGGAUUGAUUGUGUACUAUGAAUAGCAGUAAUAGCUUUUAUACAGCAUUUCCAGCCAUGAAAUAAAUACUAAUUAAAAUAAAUUGCAAAGGGGGAAAAUGAAGUAAUGGAUUUAUUUUUUUUUUAAUCAUGGUCUUUCACACCAUUAUCUAUGCUUGAGAAUAAAACUGGUUUACUGCCUUUAGGCAGAUUAGGCAAUGCACUGGAGGUACAGUAUCUUGAUUCUCCAUAUGUGACUGGAGUUUUAUCACCAUUACAGUGACAUAAACCCUGGACUAACUUCUGCAGAGUUACACAGGCACAAUAAAAGCCAGAAUUUCUCCAGGAGGAGGAUAUUUGCUUUAGGAAAAUACUGUUUCUUCAGCUUCUUGAUCUAAAAUUGAAUUAUGUGAUCUUGGAAACAAAGCCUUGUAUCCAUCCCAUCUUGUAGAUGGGGCAGUACCUUUGGUGGGAAGCAAUGCAGUGCAGCCAAUUGCUUAUCACCACAAUAUCCAGAUGUUGCUUAUUUAUCUGUCUUUAUGCCAAAUGCCCAUUUUCUCAGCUGUGCAGCCUCAUAUAUCUGGUGCAGAGUGAUUCCAGCACCCCUAAUAGUUCUGAUGAAUAGGCAAUGUCAAGAUAGACAGUAAAAGAAUAAUUUGGAUAAGUUUUAGGUUAAUUUCUACCCCUGUGUGUCAUUUCUUUUUAAAAUUAAUUCCUGCAACAUCUAGAAUAAGAAGGUGAUCGUUAGAAUAUUGAGCAGUUGGACAGGAAUAUGACUGAAGCAGAUUUGAUGUCUGUGUGAAUCAUGUUGCAAAAAGCACUUUGCUUCUGCUCCUUCAAUACCAGCUCGAGCAGAGACACUUUUAAAUUAUUUUGAAUAAUUUGCAAUAGCUAGAUUUUGGAGUCUCUUUGCAUGCAGUACUGGAGCAUGACUUUUUCCCAGUGCUCAGGUGUUGGCAAGAAAUCCUUUUUUCAAAGAUGCUCAUGGCCCAACUGGCUGUACUCAUUUCAUUUCAAAAUCUAAUCAUUUCUGCUAUUGCUCAGAUUCACUGCAAACUCUCUUGAAAAGAACUGCCUGUUACCGCUAGCAUUUUAAAAAAGAAAAAUUCAAUAAACUAAACCAUUCCCUAGUGUUGAGUUGUGAGCAGCAAAUGAAGUGAGCACAAGAAAUAUGACCAACAGAAGAAGUGGGAACAAAUUUAAAACUAGCCCUGAUUUUUCUUCUUACUGCAGGAGAAGAAAGCUUUAGAUGUUAUGAGCAGCAAAAUUGAGGGCAAUGCAUUAUUUUUAGGCGUACGUUUAAUUCCUCUUCUUUGUUGUUAUACUAUCAAAGCCUUUUCAAUUUUUUUUUUUUCUUAAGUCCUUUGGUUGUUCUGCUAUUUCAGCAGCUGGCAAAGUGAUGUUGGUGAGUGAAGAUAAUUCUUAAUGUUUGCCAGCUGUUCGCCAACAUUCAUCAACAUGAGGGCUUUUUGAACAGCCCUCUCAUAGGUAAAGAGGAGUUCUAUGGACAAGAUGAAGAUAAAUUUACUGACUAGUAGACUGGUAUAUAAAAGAAAUGCUGUAAUAUGAAGAUGGAGGUUUCUAUGAUAGCUGACCCACCUUGGCUAUAUCCCAGUGUUCACUGGUAUUUCCAGCACUCUUCAGAAGUACUUCUGAAUGACUAAACUCCAGCCAAAUUCUUUGAGGCAGGGAUCAGAAUCUCUAUUGACUGACUCAACAUUGUAAAUACUUUUAAAUGGCCAGUACACUGGGUAUGAAUUAGAUAGCCCAUGAAGGAAAGACCUAACAAUGUUCGACAAGCAGGAAAUGGUGAUAUCUGCCCAGGGUUCCUGUGGCUGCUGUGGACAACAAGUUUGGUUUGUGAUGUGGUUGACUGUAGAAUGAGCUAGGUAGGUUCAUCCCAUAGGAGAUGUGCCUGGAUGGCUUCCUCCCACAGCCAGGUGAUCGCAUACAUUUGAGCUCUUGAACCAGAAAAGCCUUGCUGCUGUUGAGGUAAUGUAGGCCAAGUAUAGGAGAUAAGCUUUGUCUGCCUGAGAGUAAGGUGUGGCCCAUGAAGUAUGGAUUGGCCACAUUCACAUUGCAAAUUGCCUUUUAUAACAGUAAUAAAAAACAGAAAUGACAUGAUUUUGAAAGAAUGUCCCUUCUAUCCCCAGGGCAACAGGUACUGAAGUGGGUUACAACUCUGAACAUUAUUAUCAUGUUGAGCACAGAGAGCUAUAUCUUCAUUAGCAGUUUCCAGGGCCUGAGAGCAAAUUGUGGUGGGAUUUAUCUGACAUGAAGGGCUGUUGAAGGUCUAACCCUCUCCCUGUUCAUAUGUCCCACACAGUGCUGCAUACCCUGUUUAGAGUGGGACAAAGCUGUACAUUGUCCUUGCUUAGGGCAUCCUUCCUUCAAGCCACUGCCACCCAUGGGCAGCACAGAGAAAUCUCUGGUGAAUUCAGUUUUAUCCUGCUGCUCAGUUGCUUAACUCUGAUAAGGAUGGCCAGUUUCCCUGGCUCCAGUCAAUUUCAUAUUGCAAUCUUUCUGAGGCAGAGUCAUCAGAUCUCCCCUGUGCCUCCAAAUACUCCAACCCCAAAGGGUAAAAAAGACCUUAAGAGGAUGAUGAGCAGAAAUAAGAGUACCUCCUUGGUAGCCUCUGCUCUCAGAUGGGGUUUAGUAGGGUCUGCAGGUAGCGAAUGCUGCUAUGUGCCUAUGGCUCUCACAUCAGUGCAACUCCACUGCUUGUCAUGUGUUGUUGGCUAGCACUGCAGUGAUAUUUGGGAUGCUGGGAGAAAUUCAUGUAGCUAAUGUGCCAUAGAUCACUCUUAGUGUAUGCACUAGAAAAGCUAAGUUAUGUGAACAUCCUGAUGCUUAGAGCAUAUUUUACAGUGUUUCUCUCCCCCAAAAUGCACAUACUAUGUAACUACUGAAAACAGAUGGAGAGCUAAUCCAAGAACUUAAUUACCUUUGCUGUGAAAGUACUAAUAUUCUACAACUCUGUAUCAUAUGUUUAUUGUGGAGCAGAUGUUGAGCUUUGGAAUAUAUAUAGAAUAAACUGCUUUCUGUUUAUUUU
ensembl:lncRNA